rnacentral:piRNA from 1 species
GUGAGGAUAAAUAAAACUUUUAUGG